rnacentral:tRNA from 1 species
GCCUGGUUAGCAUAAAAGUAAUGCAAUUGUUUUGUAAUCAAUAGAAGCAAGUGCGAUACUUGCACUGGGCUCCA